GAUGAAGAACGCAGCGAAAUGCGAUAAGUAAUGUGAAUUGCAGAAUUCAGUGAAUCAUCGAAUCUUUGAACGCACAUUGCGCCCGCCAGCAUUCUGGCGGGCAUGCCUGUCCGAGCGUCAUUUCAACCCUCAGGGUCCCUCCGCCUCGCGCGGUCGGAGCCUGGUGUUGGGGAUCGGCCCGCCCCGCGCGGCGCCGUCCCCCAAAUACAGUGGCGGUCCCGCCGCAGCCUCCCCUGCGCAGUAGUUAUCAACUCGCACUGGAGCGCGGCGCGGCCACGCCGUAAAACCCCAACUUCUGAAUGUUGACCUCGGAUCAGGUAGGAAUACCCGCUGAACUUAAGCAUAUCAAUAGCGGAGGA
rnacentral:misc_RNA from 1 species